UGCCAGCCGCCGCGGUAAUACGGAGGGGGUUAGCGUUGUUCGGAAUUACUGGGCGUAAAGCGUACGUAGGCGGACUGAUCAGUCAGAGGUGAAAUCCCAGGGCUCAACCCUGGAACUGCCUUUGAUACUGUCAGUCUUGAGUUCGAGAGAGGUGAGUGGAAUUCCAAGUGUAGAGGUGAAAUUCGUAGAUAUUUGGAGGAACACCAGUGGCGAAGGCGGCUCACUGGAUUGAUAUUGACGCUAAGGUGCGAAAGCGUGGGGAGCGAACAGGAUUAGAUA
rnacentral:rRNA from 1 species